AGUACCAUCCUCUGUGACUGGCUGCCUCCCACAGCUUCAGCUAUUAUCCUUAUCUACACCACUCCUACAUCUACAUCUCCAGCCUCAAACUCUGUUUUGUGUUCUAGACCAAAAUCUCCAGCUACUUACAAGAGCAAAGACUGGAGCCUGGAGUUUCUGAAAUCGGGGAGCCAAACAGGAAGAGGAUGUCAUAAGAGGCUGUCUAUUUAGGGCAGAUGCACGGAGUCCAAUUCCAUGUGAAGGAAGCAAUCAGCACUUUGUACUGAAGCCAGUCCUGAGUAGAUGACUGAAAAUUGAUCAUGAUGUGGAAAUGUCGAGGCUUGGAGUUGACCUUAUGAAUUUGAGAGGUCUUCAGGUCCUGGUUCCACUGGUCUGAGCUGAAUGAUACCAAGGGAUAGUCUGCAUCAGAGAAGAUGACCACUGAUAGGGAAGCCCCAGCCCUAUCCUUGAAUG